UUACUUUUACCACCACACAGAACCUUCAUCAAAGCUCACUUCAUUUUUUUCAUUUUGCCUCUUCGAAUAACUGACUCUGUUCUCUUCGUUUCCCUCAUUCAAUAACCAAUCACACAUCAUGUCUCGCUUAAUCCACUCCAGAUUAUCACCAUCCAGAUUAUCGAAUACAUUGGGAUCAACUGGAAGAAGAAGGUAUUUUUCAACUGAUUCUAAUAAGAUUGAUGAGCCACUUAAAGUAGAGGAAGCUGAAAUAGUACAGACUACACCUCCUCUGGUAGAAAAGAAACUGCUGCAAGGGAGACACUAGAACAAGUUAUGGCAGAAGCUCUUUCAAAAUCAGGUUGUAGUUGGUCUGUUGUUCGUGCAAUUUGCUUAGCUGUGUCGGGAGUCAACCAUCCAACCGACCAGCAACGGAUUUUGGAUUGGUUGAGGUCAGAUUUCUACGGUUUAACUUGCUUGAUACACCUUCCCCUUUGAACUAACUUUAUAUUUCUUUGACCAUGAUACACGCUCCAAUAAAUAAGUCAAUGAGUCGAAAUUACCACCUGUAGGUGGUUCUGGCAAUAGAUGCUUUUUUGUGUUGAUAUCAUUUUUGCCACUUGAUCCCUACAUGUGAUCCAUAAUCUUAAAGUGAAUACGUAGACACUGUCUUAUGUUUUUUUCUUUUUUUUUUUUGUUUCCAUAAUCAGUGAUAUAUUCGCGAGCGAUGUUGAAUUUUUUGUUGAGAAUGAUGCGGUGGCAGCGUUGGCUAGUU